GCAUAUCAAUAAGCGGAGGAAAAGAAACCAACAGGGAUUGCCUCAGUAACGGCGAGUGAAGCGGCAAAAGCUCAAAUUUGAAACCCUCGGGAUUGUAAUUUGAAGAUUUGGCAUUGGAGAAAGCUAACCCAAGUUACUUGGAAUAGUACGUCAUAGAGGGUGACAACCCCGUCUGGCUAACCGUUCUCCAUGUAUUGCCUUAUCAAAGAGUCGAGUUGUUUGGGAAUGCAGCUCAAAGUGGGUGGUAAACUCCAUCUAAAGCUAAAUACUGGUGAGAGACCGAUAGCGAACAAGUACUGUGAAGGAAAGGUGAAAAGAACUUUGAAAAGAGAGUGAAAUAGUAUGUGAAAUUGUUGAUAGGGAAGGAAAUGAGUGGAGAGUGGUUUAGGUUUCAGCCUUCUUUCGAGGGGGUGUACUACCAACGCCGAGUCAUUGUCAGCGAGACAGGGGUUAUAAACGGGUUGCCUUCUGGCUUCUCACCUAACCCCUCCACUGCCGACAACGACAUAAUCCACCCAUUUCACCCGUCUUGAAACACGG
rnacentral:rRNA from 1 species